GCGCUUGGCCAUCAGAUCUGCCACCUCAAUUAAUGAGGGAGAUCUGAUGACCCUUGUUUUUUUUAUUUAUAUUUUAUUUUCUGAUUUUUCAUUUAAUCCUUUUGUUUUGAUUAAUUCAUAUUAAUUUCAUUUUUAAUCCAAAAAAUAUGGGACUUUCACCAAAAAAAUUCUAAUAUUUUCCUCUUUCAUUUUCUGAAUUAAAAUUAUUUUUUGGAUUAAUUUUGAUAUUUUU
rnacentral:lncRNA from 1 species